GCCUUUAGUCUAGUGGUUAAGAUACAUGCCUGUGACCCAUGAGGUUGGUGGUUCAACCCCAGUCCCGCA